rnacentral:rRNA from 1 species
GUCUAUGGCCAAACCACCCUGAACGCACCCUAUCUCCCCUAUCUCGUUUGAUCUCAGAAGCUAAGCAGGGUCUGGCCUGGUUAGUACUUGGAUGGGAAACUGUCUGGGGAUACCGGCUGCUGUAGGCU